UGGCCAGGUAGAUAAACCAUAUAGAUAAGUAGACAUUAAAACUAAUAAAAAGAUAGCAUUUGAGAAAGAGUUGAAAGGAUUCCCAGGAUGAGAAUGGGCCUGUAAUGGGGCUGUAGGUGUCAUUAUUAUAGACUGCAUAUGAUAUCUUAAAUUCUGAUCUUUGUUCUUUGAUUUGAUUUGAGAGAAUAGGAGGAGGAGAAAGUGACCCUCCUUGAAGAUCAGUCGAUAUAUUAUUCACCACAGUGGUGCCAGGCUGAGGCUGUUGAAAAGGCACAUCUAGCUGAAAAGAGGAAGGAGAGAUGGAAUGAGCCUGAGGAUGAGAAAGACAAUCUCCUGGACAUGAUGGAAUCUCAAUCACUGCAGUUGGUCUCACCUCCAAUAAAGGUCUGUGCUGAGGAGAAGAUACAACAUCAGGCCAAAAAGGUGAGCAGACCCAAGAGUACCACAAUGGUAGAGUAAAGAACAGUGCUGGUCAAUCAUUCUAUAAUCUAGCCAGCUAUCCUUUGCCACAGACAAAGUAUGCAACUAACUCCUAAAAUCCAAAGUCUAAGUUAAAAGGCUUGCUGGAUAGUGCCCGACUUUCCCUAUUCUCCUACCAAAGUCAGGUUUCAUUUUCAUGUCAUAUUCACUGAGGCAGGGCCAUUUCUUGUUCCAUGUGGGAGCAAUUUGAAAAACACAGAUUUAAUAGGAAUCUCAAAUAAUGGACACCAUCUUUCCCCACUUCCUUUUUUAAAGUUAGCAAACUGGAUGGUUGGUUGGUUUAGAACUGGAAACCAAAGGAAAAGUGGAUGGAAGUGGAGGAUAAGAGGCUACCUACCCCUACCUUCCUACCACAUGAGUGAGGAAGUGAGAAAAAGUGUCAAUACAAUUAUCCAACAAAACUUACUUCAGGGUUCUUUGCAAAGAUCAACGAUUUUCUUUGUUGAUCAAAGAAAAUAAACCAAAGCAUCACAGGACAAAGUGUGGGACUAUGGCUCAAGGUGAUAAGUGUGAGCAUUUUAGAUGGCAGGUAAUUGCUGAUGAAUGGGGUUUAUUCUUUAAUGAGGAACAGAGGAAGGAGAGAAGAAAUGAACCUGAGGAUGAGAAAUAUAGUCUCUUGGAUGUGAUGGAAUAUUAUUCGCCAGAAUUGGACUCACCUACAAGAAAGCUCAGUGCUGAGAAGAAGAUUCAACAGCAAGCAGAAAAGGACUUGCCUAUUAGAAAGCCCUGUGCUGACCAAAAGAAGAUUCUACAGCAAGUAAAAAAGGAAAAGGACAGAUUGAGUGAACCUGAGGAUGACCAGCAGGGUCUCCAGGAUAAGAUGAAAGAUUGUUCAUGCCCACAAGACUCAAAAGCAAGAAGACCCAAUACUAUUGCAAAGAAGAUCCAGCAGCCGGUAGAAAAGGUUGAGGACAGAUUGAAUGAGCCUGAGGAUGACCAACAGAGUCUCCGGGAUAAGAUGCAAUAUUAUGCAUUGCGACUAGAUUCACCUACAAGAAAGCUCACUUCUACUGUGAGGAAGAUCCAACAGCAAGCAGAUAAGGUGAGCAGACACAAGGGUACCAUAAUUGUGGAGGACAAUUCUGGAGAUUCAUUUUGUCAUCUAGCUAAAUAUCUAUUGUCACACAAGCUUCAUACCCGUCUCAAUAGUAAGUAA
ensembl:lncRNA